CAGGGGAAGGGAGUUGAACUGCAACAGGAUCAGAGGGAUGGGAGAGGCAAUGUGAGAACAAGGUCAGGCAGAGGGCUCUUGCUGGAGAAGCUGAUUGGGCAGCAUUCUGGUCAGCCAGCUGUGACAGCUCAUCAAACAGCCAAGCCACAGACCACAGCAGAAAGGAGAACCAAGAGGAUGGAACCAUUCAGAGAGCUGAGGAUUUUUGCAAGCAGAAAAGCUAAUCGGAGCUGACAGCUGCUCCGUAGAGAAGAGGAUGAGACUGCGAGUUUGAAACCUUUCCUCUGGCCAAAGAAUGACUCAGCCCCACUUUCUUGAAAAAUAGGAAUUAAAGAGGUCAGAAAAAUAGGGAAGGACGCUUGCUUUCGGACAUGAAGAAGUGUUGAAGAUCACAACCAUGAAUCCACCAUGGUCUCCCUUGGGAAUGUGAAGAAUACUAUUCUGCUUUUGUUCCUACUUAUGAAUUAUGUCUAAUUAUGAUUUCUAGAAAUGGCAGGUUAUUUUAAAACUCUGUGAUGGACAAAUGUUGUGUGAAUCCAAUACAUGGCAAUUUUCAGAUGGCUGAGGAGGUGAGUACCUUACAGAGGCUUUUUUUUUGAAAUGUUUGACUUUCUUAAAUGGAGGUGCCCUCUCAUCCAGCCACAUCAACCUAAACCCUGAUUCGCACAGUGUUAAAUGCGUUCUGCCCCGUGUUAGUUUCCACAGAACGAAGCAGCUUUCUUCACUAACUGCUCUUGAAAUAAACUUCGAUAUAACAACCUGAUGACUCACAACACAUGAUUCAUUCUCUCCAGCAAAACAAAUGUUAUCAGAAAAUCUUGUGAUUCUUAUAAGCUCAAAUCCAGUCACAAAGCCAGCAUUGUUUCCUUUAAGUGAGUAUUGAAUUGGUUUAAUUAGCUUUUGCUAUCUCUAAAUCUUCUUUGUAGUAUUAAUAAAAAAUGUAACUAAGAAAACUUAUCAGUAUUGGGUUAGCAGGGGAAGAUAGCUAUGGUUUGGGUUUUGAAUUCCCAUUGACCAAGGUCUGAAAGGUUAGGCAGAGAGCCUCGCAUUGAUAGAAGACAGUGGAACUUUUAGGAGGAGGUUGUAGUACAGAAAUUUGGGUCAUUAAAGAGCAAGGCCUUGAGGUUGGUGUUGAAACUCUGGCCCAGUCCGUCCUUUUUUAACUUUCCUGACAUAUCUUAAGCCACAUCCUAGAAACAUAUUCAUAAACAUAUUCAUAAACAAUGAUAAGCCAAAG
rnacentral:sRNA from 1 species